GACAGAGGAUGCAAGCGUUAUCCGGAAUGAUUGGGCGUAAAGCGUCCGCAGGUGGCUGUGUAAGUCUGCUGUUAAAGAGUCUAGCUCAACUAGAUACAAGCAGUGGAAACUACACGGCUAGAGUACGUUCGGGGCAGAGGGAAUUCCUGGUGUAGCGGUGAAAUGCGUAGAGAUCAGGAAGAACACCGGUGGCGAAGGCGCUCUGCUAGGCCGUAACUGACACUGAGGGACGAAAGCUAGGGGAGCGAAUGGG
rnacentral:rRNA from 2 species